rnacentral:rRNA from 1 species
GAUGAACGCUGGCGGCGUGCCUAAUACAUGCAAGUCGAGCGAAAAGACGAGGAGCUUGCUCCUCUGACGUUAGCGGCGGACGGGUGAGUAACACGUGGGUAACCUACCUAUAAGAAUGGGAUAACUUCGGGAAACCGGAGAUAAUACCGGAUAAUAUAUUGAACCGCAUGGUUCAAUAGUGAAAGACGGUUUUGCUGUCACUUAUAGAUGGAUCCGCGCCGCAUUAGCUAGUUGGUAAGGUAACGGCUUACCAAGGCAACGAUGCGUAGCCGACCUGAGAGGGUGAUCGGCCACACUGGAACUGAGACACGGUCCAGACUCCUACGGGAGGCAGCAGUAGGGAAUCUUCCGCAAUGGGCGAAAGCCUGACGGAGCAACGCCGCGUGAGUGAUGAAGGUCUUCGGAUCGUAAAACUCUGUUAUUAGGGAAGAACAAAUGUGUAAGUAACUAUUCACGUCUUGACGGUACCUAAUCAGAAAGCCACGGCUAACUACGUG